UAAGUUGCUUUUUCGCUCUGUUCGUAUUUUACAGACCCCUUUAUUCUUCCACACCAACAAGUAGACAAAGGGGCCAUCAAGUUUGUCUUAAGUGGAGCCAAUAUCAUGUGCCCUGGAUUGACGUCCCCAGGCGCCAAACUCUAUCCUUCUGCCUCAGAAACAGUAGUUGCCAUAAUGGCGGAGGGCAAGCAACAGGCGCUUUGUGUCGGAGUCAUGAAGAUGUCUGCAGAAAAUAUAGAGAAAGUCAACAAGGGAGUAGGAGUUGAAAAUGUUCAUUAUCUUAAUGACGGACUGUGGCACAUGAAGACGUAUAAGUGAGAUGUCGUUACCCACCCCCCUGGACCACAUGGAGCUCUUGACAGCGAGGCUGCCAGUCAAUUGUUUACACCAAUGGACUUCGUUGUGUAACUAGCUGGAGGCUAUGAACCAAUCUAAUUGAUGCAGAAAUAAAAACCUGCAUUAAAGUUAUUUUCCAUUCUUUUGCACUGCCUUUACAUUUCAUGGUUUCUUUGCUAAAGUCGUUGGGACUCACUUGCUACCAGGAGAAAAACAUCUGAAAUGGAUUGUAGAUCAUAGUACCAUGUAUAUGCUGUUACAUGUAUUUAUGACAUUAAAUCAAUAAAGAAUACUCUUUGGCGAGUUGGAGGCUAAAGGGAGAUAACUCCAAAUUA